UACAGAGGGUGCGAGCGUUAAUCGGAAUUACUGGGCGUAAAGCGCGCGUAGGCGGCUUUGCAAGUCGAGUGUGAAAUCCCCAGGCUUAACCUGGGAACUGCAUUCGAGACUGCAUGGCUAGAGUAUGGGAGAGGGAAGUGGAAUUUCAGGUGUAGCGGUGAAAUGCGUAGAUAUCUGAAGGAACAUCAGUGGCGAAAGCGGCUAUCUGGACGGUUACUGACGCUGAGGCGCGAAAGCGUGGGGAGCAAACAGG
rnacentral:rRNA from 1 species